rnacentral:rRNA from 1 species
AACGUAGGACGCAAGCGUUAUCCGGAGUUACUGGGCGUAAAGCGCGUGCAGGUGGUUCAGAAAGUUACGUAUGAAAGCUCCCGGCUAAACUGGGAGAGGAUAGGUAAAACUGCUGAACUAGAAUCAGUUAGAGGAAUGUAGAAUUCCGGGUGUAGUGGUGAAAUGCGUAGAUAUCCGGAGGAAUACCAGAGGCGAAGGCGACAUUCUGGGACUGAAUUGACACUGAGACGCGAAAGCAUGGGUAGCGAACGGG